GACGGGGGGGCAAGUGUUCUUCGGAAUGACUGGGCGUAAAGGGCACGUAGGCGGUGAAUCGGGUUGAAAGUGAAAGUCGCCAAAAAGUGGCGGAAUGCUCUACGAAACCAAUUCACUUGAGUGAGACAGAGGAGAGUGGAAUUCGUGUGUAGGGGUGAAAUCCGUAGAUCUACGAAGGAACGCCAAAAGCGAAGGCAGCUCUCUGGGUCCCUACCGACGCUGGGUGCGAAGCAUGGGGAGCGAACAG
rnacentral:rRNA from 1 species